rnacentral:rRNA from 1 species
UAUACCAAGCUUCCAGGAAAAGCCACUAAGCUUCAGUCUAGAAUUGACCGUACCGCAAACCGACACAGGUGGGCAGGAUGAAAAUUCUAAGGCGCUUGAGAGAACUCAGGAGAAGGAACUCGGCAAAUUAACACCGUAACUUCGGGAGAAGGUGUGCCCCGGUAGGUUGUAGAGCCUCGCGCUCGAAGGCCGAUGGGGUUGCAGUGAAAUGGUGGCUGCGACUGUUUAAUAAAAACACAGCUCUCUGCAAACACGAAAGUGGACGUAUAGGGAGUGACGCCUGCCCGGUGCCGGAAGGUUAAUUGAUGGGGUGCAAGCUCUUGAUCGAAGCCCCGGUAAACGGCGGCCGUAACCAUAACGGUCCUAAGGUAGCGAAAUUCCUUGUCGGGUAAGUUCCGACCUGCACGAAGGGCGUAACGAUGGCCACACUGUCUCCUCCUGAGACUCAGCGAAGUUGAAAUGUUUGUGAAGAUGCAAUCUCCCCGCGGCAAGACGGAAAGACCCCAUGAACCUUUACUGUAGCUUUGCAUUGGACUUUGAACCGGUCUGUGUAGGAUAGGUGGGAGACUAUGAAACCGGGACGCUAGUCUCGGUGGAGUCAACCUUGAAAUACCACCCUGGUUUGUUUGAGGUUCUAACCUUGAUCCGUGAAUCCGGAUCGGGGACCGUGCAUGGUGGGCAGUUUGACUGGGGCGGUCUCCUCCCAAAAGGUAACGGAGGAGUACGAAGGUACGCUUAGGGCGGUCGGACAUCGCCCAUAAAGUGCAAUGGCAAAAGCGUGCUUGACUGCGAGACCCACAAGUCGAGCAGGUGCGAAAGCAGGUCAUAGUGAUCCGGUGGUUCUGUAUGGAAGGGCCAUCGCUCAACGGAUAAAAGGUACUCUGGGGAUAACAGGCUUAUACCGCCCAAGAGUUCAUAUCGACGGCGGUGUUUGGCACCUCGAUCUCGGCUCAUCUCAUCCUGGGGCUGUAGCCGGUCCCAAGGGUAUGGCUGUUCGCCAUUUAAAGAGGUACGUGAGCUGGUUUUAAAACGUCGUGAGACAGUUUGGUCCCUAUCUGCCGUGGGCGCUGGAAAUUUGAAGGGGGCUGCUCCUAGUACGAGAGGACCGGAGUGGACGAACCUCUGGUGUACCGGUUAUGACGCCAGUCGUAUCGCCGGGUAGCUAUGUUCGGAAGAGAUAAACGCUGAAAGCAUCUAAGCGUGAAACUCGCCUUAAGAUAAGAUUUCCCGGAGUCUUGAACUCCUUAAAGGGUCGUCGAAGACCACGACGUUGAUAGGUCAGGUGUGGAAGCGCAGUAAUGCGUUAAGCUAACUGAUACUAAUUGCCCGUACGGCUUGAUC